GAAAGCAGAAUUUCUAGUGUAGAGGUGAAAUUCGUAGAUAUUAGAAAGAAUACCAAUUGCGAAGGCAGCUUUCUGGAUCAUUACUGACACUGAGGAACGAAAGCAUGGGUAGCGAAGAGGAUUAGAUACCCUCGUAGUCCAUGCCGUAAACGAUGUGUGUUAGACGUUGGAAAUUUAUUUUCAGUGUCGCAGCGAAAGCGAUAAACACACCGCCUGGGGAGUACGACCGCAAGGUUAAAACUCAAAUGAAUUGACGGGGACCCGCACAAGUAGUGGAGCAUGUGGUUUAAUUCGAAGAUACGCGCAGAACCUUACCAACACUUGACAUGUUCGUCGCGACUCUAAGAGAUUAGAGUUUUCGGUUCGGCCGGACGAAACACAGGUGCUGCAUGGCUGUCGUCAGCUCGUGUCGUGAGAUGUUGGGUUAAGUCCCGCAACGAGCGCAACCCUCACUUUUAGUUGCCAUCAUUAAGUUGGGCACUCUGAAAGAACUGCCAGUGAUAAGCUGGAGGAAGGUGGGGAUGACGUCAAGUCCUCAUGGCCCUUACGUGUUGGGCUACACACGUGCUACAAUGGUAUCUACAACAGGAAGCAAGACUGCGAGGUCAAGCAAAUCCUUAAAAGAUACCUCAGUUCGGAUUGCACUCUGCAACUCGAGUGCAUGAAGCUGGAAUUACUAGUAAUCGUGGAUCAGCGUGCCACGGUGAAUGCGUUCCCGGGUCUUGUACACACCGCCCGUCACACCAUGGGAGUUGGUUCUACCUUAAGGCAAGGUUUUAAACCCUUGACCACGGUAUAGUCAGCGACUGGGGUGAAGUCGUAACAAGGUAGCCGUAGGGGAACCUGCGGCUG
rnacentral:rRNA from 1 species